UACAGAGGGCCCAAGCGUUGUUCGGAUUCACUGGGCGUAAAGGGUGCGCAGGUGGGUUGGCAAGUUUGAUGUGAAAGCCCCGGGCUUAACCCGGGAUUGGCAUUGAAUACUGCUGAUCUGGAGGAUUGGAGGGGGGACUGGAAUUCUUGGUGUAGCAGUGAAAUGCGUAGAUAUCAAGAGGAACACCAGUGGCGAAGGCGGCUUCCUGGUCCAGCACCGACGUUCAGGCACGAAAGCGUGGGGAGCAAACAGG
rnacentral:rRNA from 1 species